ensembl:lncRNA
GUUGCUCCGCUGCUGGAUGCGCGGUCGGUCUCUGGGACUGUGACCUUGGGGGGGUUGUUUUCUUUGGUUGUUGUUGCUUGUUUUGAUUCUGGCCCUCCGUCCUGGUUCCCCCCCGCCGCCCGCCCUGGGUUGGUUGUGCUGUUUUUUUUGUUUUGGUUUUGGGGUCGUCGGGAGCCGACCCUUAGAGGGGGGGUACUGUCAGGGUCCUGGGACUGGGCGACCCAGGAUCCCUGAGCAGUCAUGUAUUAUAUUAUUAUUAUUAUUAUUGUUGUGUAUUUUGGUGUUGCUCCCCCUUCCCUGUGCUUGUGUAUAUGUGUGUGUGGGUGGCUGAGCACUUGUUUAUAGGCGGCGUCAGGCCUGGAGGGUGUGGCCCAGCAAGGGGACUGGCCACACCCGAAGCCACACACCUGCUGCUGAUCAGGCCUCGUCGGGGAAGCUACUUAAGAGAGUCUUGGAGCUCCCACCGACGCGGGAUCAUUGCUUGGGACUCCACGAGGAGCGUGGAAGGCUUAAGGAGCAGCGAGCACCGGGAGUGCAGACACGGGAGCAGAGAGCACUUGGAGGACACGACACGGGAGUCUGGGGAAAAACACGGGGAUUUAUUGUUGUUUGAUAUCACCCUCUGUAAAUAAACGCACUGC